rnacentral:rRNA from 1 species
UACCACUUGUUGCCUCGGCGGAUCAGCCCGCUCCCGGUAAAACGGGACGGCCCGCCAGAGGACCCCUAAACUCUGUUUCUAUAUGUAACUUCUGAGUAAAACCAUAAAUAAAUCAAAACUUUCAACAACGGAUCUCUUGGUUCUGGCAUCGAUGAAGAACGCAGCAAAAUGCGAUAAGUAAUGUGAAUUGCAGAAUUCAGUGAAUCAUCGAAUCUUUGAACGCACAUUGCGCCCGCCAGUAUUCUGGCGGGCAUGCCUGUUCGAGCGUCAUUUCAACCCUCAAGCACAGCUUGGUGUUGGGACUCGCGUUAAUUCGCGUUCCUCAAAUUGAUUGGCGGUCACGUCGAGCUUCCAUAGCGUAGUAGUAAAACCCUCGUUACUGGUAAUCGUCGCGGCCACGCCGUUAAACCCCAACUUCUGAAUGUUGACCUCGGAUCAGGUAGGAAUACCCGCUGAACUUAAGCAUA